AAGUCGAGCGGCAGCACGGGAAGCUUGCUUCCUGGUGGCGAGCGGCGGACGGGUGAGUAAUGCAUAGGAAUCUGCCCGAUAGUGGGGGAUAACCUGGGGAAACCCAGGCUAAUACCGCAUACGUCCUACGGGAGAAAGCGGGGGCUCCGUGUUCUUCGGAAUGGGGACCUCGCGCUAUCGGAUGAGCCUAUGUCGGAUUAGCUAGUUGGUGAGGUAACGGCCCACCAAGGCGACGAUCCGUAGCUGGUCUGAGAGGAUGAUCAGCCACAUCGGGACUGAGACACGGCCCGAACUCCUACGGGAGGCAGCAGUGGGGAAUAUUGGACAAUGGGCGCAAGCCUGAUCCAGCCAUGCCGCGUGUGUGAAGAAGGCUUUCGGGUUGUAAAGCACUUUCAGUGGGGAAGAAGGCCUGACGGCCAAUACCCGUCAGGGGCGACAUCACCCACAGAAGAAGCACCGGCUAACUCCGUGCCAGCAGCCGCGGUAAUACGGAGGGUGCAAGCGUUAAUCGGAAUUACUGGGCGUAAAGCGCGCGUAGGCGGCCACAUCAGCCGGUUGUGAAAGCCCCGGGCUCAACCUGGGAACGGCAUCCGGAACUGUGUGGCUAGAGUGCAGGAGAGGAAGGUAGAAUUCCCGGUGUAGCGGUGAAAUGCGUAGAGAUCGGGAGGAAUACCAGUGGCGAAGGCGGCCUUCUGGACUGACACUGACGCUGAGGUGCGAAAGCGUGGGUAGCAAACAGGAUUAGAUACCCUGGUAGUCCACGCCGUAAACGAUGUCGACUAGCCGUUGGGUGCCUCGAGCACUUUGUGGCGAAGUUAACGCGAUAAGUCGACCGCCUGGGGAGUACGGCCGCAAGGUUAAAACUCAAAUGAAUUGACGGGGGCCCGCACAAGCGGUGGA
rnacentral:rRNA from 1 species